rnacentral:rRNA from 1 species
AGCAGCCACGGUAAUUCCAGCUCCAAUAGCGUAUAUUAAAGUUGCUGCAGUUAAAAAGCUCGUAGUUGAAUUUCGGGAUCAAGGAAUCGGUCAUGCCUCGGUAUGUACUGGUUUUAUUGGUUCUCACCUUCUAAAGAACCAUGAUGUCAUUCAUUUGAUGUUAUGGGGAAUUAGGACUGUUACCUUGAAAAAAUUAGAGUGUUUAAAGCAAGCUUACGCUUGAAUACAUUAGCAUGGAAUAAUGAAAUAGGACAUCCGAUUCUAUUUUGUUGGUUUCUAGGAUCGAUGUAAUGAUUAAUAGGGAUAGUUGGGGGCAUUAGUAUUCAAUUGUCAGAGGUGAAAUUCUUGGAUUUAUUGAAGACUAACUACUGCGAAAGCAUUUGCCAAGGAUGUUUUCAUUAAUCAAGAACGAAAGUUAGGGGAUCGAAGACGAUCAGAUACCGUCGUAGUCUUAACCAUAAACUAUGCCGACUAGGGAUCGGAUGAUGUUAAUUUUUUAAUGACUCAUUCGGCGCCUUAC